rnacentral:rRNA from 1 species
UGAGGAAUAUUGGUCAAUGGACGCAAGUCUGAACCAGCCAUGCCGCGUGAAGGAUGAAGGCCUUCUGGGUUGUAAACUUCUUUUACCUGGGAAGAAACCUCAGUUUUCUAACUGAGUUGACGGUACCAGAGGAAUAAGCACCGGCUAACUCCGUGCCAGCAGCCGCGGUAAUACGGAGGGUGCAAGCGUUAUCCGGAUUUACUGGGUUUAAAGGGUGUGUAGGCGGGUCUUUAAGUCAGUGGUGAAAUCUCCGAGCUCAACUUGGAAACUGCCAUUGAUACUAUUGAUCUUGAAUUUUGUUGAGGUAGGCGGAAUAAGUCAUGUAGCGGUGAAAUGCAUAGAUAUGACUUAGAACACCAAUUGCGAAGGCAGCUUGCUAAACAAAUAUUGACGCUGAGGCACGAAAGCGUGGGGAUCAAACAG